rnacentral:rRNA from 1 species
UACGAGGGGGGCAAGCGUUGUUCGGAAUUAUUGGGCGUAAAGGGCGCGUAGGCGGUUUGGCAAGUUUGGUGUGAAAUCUCCCGGCUCAACUGGGAGGGUGCGCCGAAUACUGAAUGACUUGGAGUGCGGGAGAGGAGAGUGGAAUUCCUGGUGUAGCGGUGAAAUGCGUAGAUAUCAGGAGGAACACCGGUGGUGUAGACGGCUCUCUGGACCGUAACUGACGCUGAGACACGAAAGCGUGGGUAGCAAACAGG